GCGCGAUUUACAACGCGAUGCAGGUGUUUCUUAUGAAGUGUGAGAACCGGGAAGUUCUUGUGCAUGAAGCAAGACUUUAAGUUUAAAGUCACAGUGGAGCCACUGAGCAGUGAGACUAAGCGUACUCGUCAGGCUUACAGCUGAAGACCAAACAUCUGUGGUGAAGUUCAUCGCGGAGUGGUUAUGAAGAAGCUCGUGAAUAUGAUCUGUCAUACGGUUGUAUAACUCCGAUAUGAAUCAGCUUUGGCAACCUUCUACUACAAAGAGAAGUCUGAAACAAAACAGAGCAGUCAUGAGUCGCGGGAAACGUUCCGGCCUGUGUCCAAUAAUUUGGUGGAAGAGUGGAUGUACUACAGACCACUAAAAACAGGCAAGAGUGAAUUCCUUCUAUGAAGCAAUCAAGUGAGAGACUCCCCAUAUUAUGCUUACUGUAAAAAAUAUGUUGUAGGAGAAGACUCAGAGCUAUUAUCUUGGCAAAGGGAGCUAGCACCAAGUAUUGAAUAAAAGGGUGCCAAUAAUUGUUGCAUACCUAUAAUUACCAAAGAUAUUUUUUGA
ensembl:lncRNA